UACACCUGCGAGUAAAAAUAAAGAAUUAGGGGCGGUUUUAUUAAAUCGCUUUUAAAAAGUAUGCAUUAGAAGCGGUUUUCACGUUGAGAGAGCAGCGACGCUGAUCUUUAUCGCCACUAUGGUUAGGGUUUUAGUUUUUGAAUGAAAAGUAUGAAAUUAGGAGUCUUCGCGCUAAAUUUUCCCAUUUCCUCUUUUUCUCUAAUAUCUUUCGAAACCUAACCGCUGCCUCUCUUCCUUCUUCUAUAAUCCGAUUUGCAAUCCGCCGUGACUGCAACUCUAGCCAAGGAAGCCGUCGUGACUCCAGCCAAGGCAGCUUUGCCAUUCUAGCCGCGACUCCAACUCCAGCUCCUUCGGUUUCCUCUCCCAUCUCAGGAUACCCUUGUCAUAAAGCCCCUAAGAAGUCUCCAUUGAUAUUGAGAACGGUUGUCUUAUUGUUCUCUAUGGUCUGCUGUGUUUAUAUUUGCUCAAUUUGUAUAAAGCAGAUAAGAAGCCACACAAAGGCGAGAUUCCCCUACUAUUUUUUUUACUAUGUUUGAGUGGUUCUUCAACAACAUUGAAUCAUUAUCUAAGGGUGACUAAAUCCCUUAGUUUUAAUAGCUUUGAACUAGAUCCGAUUCUGUUUGUUACAUUGUAAAAUUUUUUGUGCAAAUGAUAUUUUACAUGAAUUUUCUCUAAUUUCUUA